GGAUGUGAGGGCGAUCUGGCUGCGACAUCUGUCACCCCACUGAUCGCCAGGGUUGAUUCGGCUGAUGUGGCUGGCUAGGCGGGUGUCCCCUUCCUCCCUCACCGCUCCAUGUGCGUCCCUCCCGAAGCUGCGCGCUCGGUCGAAGAGGACGACCAUCCCCGAUAGAGGAGGACCGGUCUUCGGUCAAGGGUAUACGAGUAGCUGCGCUCCCCUGCUAGAACCUCCAAACAAGCUCUCAAGGAAGGAGGAUCAUGGCACAAAGUCAGCCCCUGGGCAAAAAUUAAAGCAAAAGAGGGCUAGGGGCAUGGCAUAAAUAGUAGAGUACCUCCUAACAAGCAUAAGGCCCUGAGUU
rnacentral:snRNA from 1 species